CACCAGACUCCUACGGGAGGCAGCAGUGGGGAAUAUUGCACAAUGGGGGAAACCCUGAUGCAGCGACGCCGCGUGAGCGAUGAAGUAUUUCGGUAUGUAAAGCUCUCUCAGCAGGGAAGAAAAUGACGGUACCUGACUAAGAAGCCCCGGCUAACUACGUGCCAGCAGCCGCGGUAAUACGUAGGGGGCAAGCGUUAUCCGGAUUUACUGGGUGUAAAGGGAGCGUAGACGGCUGUGCAAGCCAGAUGUGAAAGCCCGGGGCUCAACCCCGGGACUGCAUUUGGAACUGUGUGGCUGGAGUGUCGGAGAGGCAGGCGGAAUUCCUAGUGUAGCGGUGAAAUGCGUAGAUAUUAGGAGGAACACCAGUGGCGAAGGCGGCCUGCUGGACGAUGACUGACGUUGAGGCUCGAAAGCGUGGGGAGCAAACAGGAUUAGAUACCCGUGUA
rnacentral:rRNA from 1 species